CAGUCGCCGCGGGAAUACGAAGGGUGCAAGCGUUACUCGGAAUUACUGGGCGUAAAGCGUGCGUAGGUGGUUUGUUAAGUUGGAUGUGAAAGCCCCGGGCUCAACCUGGGAACUGCAUCCAAAACUGGCAAGCUAGAGUACGGUAGAGGGUGGUGGAAUUUCCUGUGUAGCGGUGAAAUGCGUAGAUAUAGGAAGGAACACCAGUGGCGAAGGCGACCACCUGGACUGAUACUGACACUGAGGUGCGAAAGCGUGGGGAGCAAACAGGAUUAGAUACCCCUGUAGUCCCUGUCUCUUAUAC
rnacentral:rRNA from 1 species